ACUGGGCUUUUUAGUAUAAUAAGUAUAUUCGUUUUAAGCGCGGCUGGUUUUUAAGCUA
rnacentral:tRNA from 1 species